rnacentral:rRNA from 1 species
GAUGAACGCUAGCUACAGGCUUAACACAUGCAAGUCGAGGGGUAACGAGAGGGAAGCUUGCUUUCCUUGUCGACGACCGGCGCACGGGUGAGUAACGCGUAUCCAACCUGCCCCCAACUAAGGAAUAAUCUUGCGAAAGUAAGACUAAUACCCUAUAAUUUCCUCAGAUGACAUCUGACGAGGAAUAAAGAUUUAUCGGUUGUGGAUGGGGAUGCGUCUGAUUAGCUUGUUGGCGGGGUAACGGCCCACCAAGGCAACGAUCAGUAGGGGUUCUGAGAGGAAGGUCCCCCACAUGGAACUGAGACACGGUCCAAACUCCUACGGGAGGCAGCAGUGAGGAAUAUUGGUCAAUGGGCGGAAGCCUGAACCAGCCAAGUAGCGUGCAGGAUGACGGCCCUAUGGGUUGUAAACCGCUUUUAUACAGGAAUAAAGUUAGCCACGUGUGGUUAUUUGUAGGUACUGUAUGAAUAAGGACCGGCUAAUUCCGUGCCAGCCGCCGCAGUAA